rnacentral:rRNA from 1 species
UAGAGCGGCGGACGGGUGAGUAACACGUGGACAAUCUGCCCCCCGGCCCGGGAUAGCCCAGGGAAACCUGGAUUAAUACCGGAUGAGACGGGACCCGCGAUGGCGGGAGUCCGGGAAAGGCGCUGCGGCGCCGGCCGGGGGAUGAGUCUGCGUCCCAUUAGCUAGGACGGCGGGGUAACGGCCCACCGUGGCGACGAUGGGUAGCCCGGCCUGAGAGGGUGGACGGCCACAUUGGAACUGAGACACGGUCCAGACUCCUACGGGAGGCAGCAGCUAAGAAUCUUCCGCAAUGGGCGAAAGCCUGACGGAGCGACGCCCGCGUGAACGAAGAAGGCCGUGAGGUUGUAAAGUUCUUUUCGGGAGGGGGAACAACCGUGGCAGGGAAUGGCCGCGGGAUGACGUGAAUCCCGGAAUAAGCCCCCGGCUAACUACGUGCCAGCCGCAGC